AUAACAAAAGGAGUAUUUAUUUAAAUUAUAAUUUUGAAAUGUGAGGAAAUAUAUAACACUUUUAUUCCACCUACUAUCAUCACUUACACCGCCACGCCAACUACCACAACCACCAUAUUCAUCAACACCACCACCUCUAACACCAUUGCCGCCACCAUUUCACCCAUACCUCAACUGAUCAUCACUACUAUAAAAAUUCCAGAUCUGAUAUUUCUCUGUAGAAUGCACCACUAUCCAACACCACCACAAAAACUUAACGCCGCCCACCACCACCUCAAAACACUACAUCUAACCACAAAUUCGAUCAAGCAACAUCCACCAAAAGUAUAGAUAGGGAUGAAAACUGAUAGAUCUGAAGAAAGAAAUAAAACACUUUAACAUUUUUAUUGUUUAAUCGAAACUUUUCACGAUUUAAAUAGAGUUUCUGCUAUUGG
rnacentral:lncRNA from 1 species